rnacentral:lncRNA from 1 species
CACACGAACUAACUGAAAACCUUGUGUUAAAGUAACACACCACACAGCACAGAGUGAAAAAUGCAGCGGAAAUAAAUGAACACCAAACUUUGGAAAAAUUUCUUCAAGUUAUAAAUAACUUGAAGAAUGCCUUAUGGCGAAAUUACUAAACGGAGAAUGACACUCACGUUCAAUACCUUUACAAAGGACAAGGUAUUGAACACCAUACACUCUCACUAAUAAACAAAACUGGAUUCAAGAGCUAUACUCCGAAAUCCAAUAAAACACAGAAUGCUAUAACUAAUGUUAUCCCAACACGAGAAACAGCACACCUAAACAGAUCACUCAAAAGCUAGAUAUCUUCUCUCAAAGUUCGUGAUCUGAACUGGGACUUCUCCUUGGUAUAUAUAGGCAUCUCAAUCUUGCUUCCCAAGGCUUGAAGUCGUGGCUUGGAUCAUGGAUGAAGUGGCCGUUUGAUAGUUGUUGGAUUUAGUCCACUUCUUCCUUGAUUUUAGGAGCUGCCACACGCUCCUUUCUCUCUCUCUUUAUCUCUACUUGUUCCUUCCUUUUCUCAACAGAAUUUGUUCCUUCUUUUCCUCCUUCAUCCUUCACGUCUUCCAUCAUUUCUUGACUCGGUCAAAACACCUACACAAACAAAGUGAAGAAAGAGCAAAACAUACACAAUUCGAAAACUAACAAACUCCCCCUUUUUGCCUUUCUUCACAAAACCAAAAACCAAAUUGCUCCCCCUUGAUGUGAACUCCCCCUGCAGAGUAAGCAGUAACAAAACACACAAGCAAAGCAAUAUUCUCACAGCAGCAAGAGCAUAAGCAUAGCAAACGUCAAAGUAUCAACAAUCAAAAGUACUUAAACAUCCACCAAACAAAAGUUUAAGAAGUUCUGCCAAUUUAGAAAAAAAAUUCAUCAACGAACACAGAACACAGCUUCACUCCCCUGUUCCCUCAGCAUCAUUAGCAGCAUCAGCAUCUUCUCCCCCUUUUUGGGAAGAAAGGAGGGCAGUUAACUGUCCUUUGGCUUGAUUCAGUAUUGACGAAGACUCCCCCUGAAUUCUUCGGGCUUGAAGAAGGCUGGUCUCCAAGUCGUCGAUCUGCUGUAAAAGAGCCUGCAAUGUUGCCUUAGGAAUUGUGAUCAUGGUAGUGUCCUCAACAGCGGGAGCAGCAGCAGGAUUAAUCCAGGGCAGAUCAGCAACUUUGCCCUCACUAAACAGCAUACUCGUGAGAGCAUACUCGUGGAUGUCCUCUCUCUUGACAGAAUCCUUCACCUUUACGCCCUGACUCCGGAGGAACCUGAAAAUCAAAGAAGGAAACGGCAACCCAGACAAUUGAGAAGAGGCAGCGAUUUGAUCGAAAACAACCUGCCCCAGAUUGAACGGCAGCCCUUCUCCAAUGCAGUAGAGAAGUAUGCCGUGCUGGUGUGUGACGACGGUAGAAUUCGUUGACACAAUCCAAUUCAAGGUCAUGACCUUGAAUAGAGCCGAGUACAGGUACGACAAAGUUGAAGACUUCAUUAUUUUCAGCCAUUUCUUCACUUUUCCUCCGGUGAUGACCGUUGCGACCUUGUCCAUGUCUUUCACCUUUGUGCUCUUCACAUCCGGCGUGCCAAGGACUCCAUUGAUGACGGCAGGAGUAAGUGUAAAGACUCUGUUCUUGUAAAAGAUCUUCCCAUACUUUUUCGACCUUGGAUUGCCGAAAUCCGCCGUGAGAUUGCUGUAGAUUAGUUGAACCACCGACUUCACAAAUAGGCUCCACCUCGGUGACUGAUUGGAACAAGUGACGAGCCUUAAGAAAUUCCACAAGAUUAAACAUCCUGAAGGAAUCUUGUUCAAUAUUUCGCUCACUAUAGCACUCCAUAUCCUUGACAUUCUGCCAAGACUUCACAGCUUCAGCAGUGUAGAAGAAAUCCAUGAAAGCUUUGCUACCCUCCAUGUCGGAGCCUUCGAGUUCCUCGUCUUCCACUUCUAUUUCUUCCUCAUCCGAUUCUGUGGCCUCAGAUGUUGGGGGCACAGUCGAGGUGGUAGCCUUCCUUUUUCCUUCACGGAUGGCUUUUCGCUUGAGCUUUGUUAACACCUCAGUGAGAAGUGUGUCGUCGUCAGAAGGAUUCUCCGCUGCUACCUCUGCUUCAGCCUCGUUGAGCAGAGUAUCAAGAGACUGCACCGGAGAAGGGGCUGUGGGUUCUGCGGUCUCCUCUGUUGGAGCAGCAGAUUCUUCAUCAGCAGUGGAGGUUUCUACCGUCGGCCCAGACGUCCGUGCUUGCUUGGCUGGAGGUACGUCGUCUUCUGAUUCGUCAAGCAACACCAUCUUCGGAGGACCGGGUUUUAAAACCCUAGGUUGAGUGGGGAUUCGAUUUGACCUCCGUACCGGCUUGAGCUUGGGCCUAGAAGUUUCGGCCCCCUUCUUCUUGCGUUUAUUUGAGGGUUUUUCAGGUUCCCCUUGCUUCGCCGGUUUUUCGACCGGUGAAUCGGCGGAGUGCUCGAUGGUAGAGAUGGGCGCCGGAUUCAGCACCGCUUUUGGGACUUUCGGUGUUUGAGACACCGGUGGUGGAGCGUGUCCGCUUGCUGUUGCUGGAGUUGUCAUCGGAGCAGGCAGGGACGGCAACGGUGGAGCAGCUUGAUUUUCCGGCACUGAGAUGGUGGCUAGGGCUGCUUGAAAUUGGGGAUUUGAUAAGAUCUGUCUAAUAAGCUCAAUAGUAUUUGGGUUAGACAUUAUAGACAAACAACUAAGUACAAGGCAAAGGAAGCAAAGAGUCUCUCUCGAAAAACACAGUGUAAUGAUGAAGAAUGGUGAUGAUUUGAUUUGCAUGCAGAGAAUAAAUACUAAAAGAAAUCAAAAGCCAAAAAACUAACAAACCAAAUCCUUUCGAAAAUCUUCACCAUUAAAUUCGAAAAUUAGGGUUAGAAGGAGAUUAAGAUAGAGAUAUGAUCAAAUCAAGAACAAGAUAUGACGUAACAAAUUACAGAACCUUCGGAUAGAGAGAAUCCCAUGAAAAUCGGAACUGAAAACAACCUUCCCAUUUUUCCCGAAUUAAUUUAUCUAAUGUUCUGCCUUUUGUUAUAACAACAUCCCCUAACACAUAACUCAGUUAGACUUUAUUUCGCACUUAUAAGCACAGCACCAAGUAAAAUUCACUCAUUUUUAUUGACAUAGAGAACAUCGUCGCAGCGAACGCCGUGCCCCUAGUCUAAAUUUGUGAAAGCAAUCGAGGAUGGCCAUUUUGUAAGGUAGCAUCGUCGCAGCGAACGCCGUGCCCCCCAAACUACUUUGGCUUUUUCUGUGCUUUAUAUAUAUUAUACAUACAUCCUGAGUUAGUGAAGAGGAACGUGCUGAAACAACAUAGAGCAUCACACAGACAAAAAAACAGUUGCAUCUAAGAAUAUUUCUUUUGAAACGGAUGCAACAAACACUUCCUUUUUCAUUAGUUUCGAAGGCAAAGGCCAAGAGACCUUCUUAACAUGGUGAAUCUCUCAAAAUCCAAAGGUUUAGUAAAAAUAUCCGCAAUUUGGUUCUCGGUUGGAACAUACUCUAACUUAAUUACCUCUUGUUCCACUAAAUCGCGAAUAAAGUGGUGUCGAAUAUCGAUGUGCUUGGUUCGUGAGUGUUGGACCGGAUUCUUUGAAAUGUUUAUUGCACUGAUGUUGUCGCAGUACAUCACCAUCGCAUCACUCGUCACACCGUAAUCUGACAACAUUUGUCUCAACCAAAGAAGUUGAGAGCAACAACAACCUGCAGCAACAUAUUCGGAUUCUGCAGUAGAGAGAGACACACAAUUUUGCUUUCUACUAUGCCACGACACCAAGUUAUUUCCAAGAUAAAAACACCCACCACUUGUACUUUUCCUAUCAUUAGUAUCCCCUGCCCAAUCUGAGUCGCUAAAAGCUACAAGGUUCGUGUUAGAAUCUUUGGAAAAGAAAAUGCCAAGAUCAAGUGUGCCAGCCACAUACCUUAUCACACGUUGACUGCUUUUAAAUGAGACUCUUUAGGAUCAGCUUGAUACCUGGCACAAACACACACACUAAACAUGAUAUCAGGUCGUGUUGCGGUGAGAUAAAGGAGGCUCCCAAUCAUUGAUCUGUAGAGUGUUGGGUCUACUGCCUCCCCAGCAUUGUCUUUUGACAGAGUGUCGCUUGAUCCCAUCGGCGUGCGCAUGUGCCUUGCACCUUCCAGAUUGAACCUCUUUACCAUAUCCCUUGCAUACUUCCCCUGUGAGAUGAAAAUUCCUUCUGGUUCUUGCUUGACUUGGAUCCCUAAAAAGAAUGUUAGUUCACCCACUAUGCUCAUCUCGAACGUGGUGGUCAUGGCCCUUGCAAAAUCAUCUAACAAACGUUGUGAGGUAGCACCGACAAUCAUAUCAUCAACAUAGAUUUGAGUGAUCAGAAUAUCACUACUUUCUCUUUUAAUAAACAGUGUCCUGUCAGCAUAGCCUCUCACAAAUCCAAACUCAAGUAAGAAAGAUGUUAGAUGUCCAUACCAUGCUCGAGGGGCUUGUUUAAGGCCGUAGAGAGCCUUCUUUAGCCUGUAGACGUGGUGUGGUCUGUGUGGAUCUUCAAAACCUUUCGGCUGCUCUACAUACACCUCUUCAUUUAGGAUGCCGUUGAGGAAGGCUCCUUUAACAUCCAUUUGGUACAGCUUGAUGUUGAGAUGGCACACAAUUGCAAGAAGCAGUCGUAUUGACUCGAUGCGGGCGACUGGAGCAAAAGUGUCAUCGAAGUCAACACCUACGACUUGGGUGUAACCUUGCGCCACAAGUCUCGCCUUGUUCCUCACUAUCGUCCCACACUCGUCUGAUUUGUUCUUGAAGAUCCACUUUGUGCCGAUCACAUUCCUGUCAGCAGGUCUAGGCACAAGAUACCAAACAUCGCUUCGAACAAACUGAUUAAGUUCAUCUUGCAUGGCUAACAUCCAAAAUUCAUCACGUAAAGCCUCCUUGACUGUUUUUGGUUCAAGUUUCGACACAAAGCACAAAAAACCUGGUAGAGACGUGCAAAGAGAAGACAUGCAAAUCAUCUUCCGGUAGUCAACCGGUGGUUUACCUCUUGUGGUCAUGCCGUCACUUACAUUGCCAAUUACUUGGGAGGUUGGGUGAUUUUUGUGAAUCCUUCUGGAGGGUGCAUUUACUCUACAUUUUUUCUUUGGUUAUUGGGGGUUUCUUCUUCAUCGGUAUCACACUGUUCUUCUGGUGUUUGUGGUGUGAUUUCUUCUGUUGCCUUAGCAUCUGCAGUUUCAUCCUCUGCUGGCAUCACAAUGUCCAUCACCUGAUCUUCUCUAUUAUUCUCAUCUACAAAACUCCUCACAUCAUCAAAUACCACAUUUACAGAUUCUUGAAUAGUUUGGCUUCUCAAGUUAAAGACUCGAUAGGCUUGACUAUUCAAUGAAUACCCCAAAAAGAUACCUUUGUCUACUUUUUUCAUCAAACUUUGUGAGAUAUUCUCUGUCAUUCAGUAUAUGACACACACAUACCAAUACAUGAAAGUAUUUUGAGAUUUGGCUUCUUACCACGCAGAAUUUCAUAUGGAGUUUUGAACGUACCAGGUCUGAUGUUGACUCGAUUGUUGAUAUGGCAUGCGGUGUUCACAGCUUCUGCCCAGAAGCGUUGUGCCAAUUUCUUUGAAGCCAACAUCACUCUUGCCAUCUCCACCAGGGUUCGGUUCUUUCGUUCCACAACUCCGUUCUGCUGUGGCGUCUUGGGGGCUGAGAAUUCUUGAAAAAUUCCUUUCUUCUCACAAAAAUUUGUGAAAGCCGCAUUCUCGAACUCACGUCCAUGGUCAAGAUCACAUCACCAUGGGCAUCAGUGGUCUUGGGAGCAGACCACCCUUCUUCGACGCAGUGCCAGGCUUUAAGAUCGAUAGCCUUGAUGUACUGCCGGAUUCUUAUCCUCCAGGCCGAGUAGUUUGCACCAUCAAGGAUAGGAGGACGCAUAACACCAAAUGGCUCCAUGUGGAAACAACUGUUGUAACAACUGUGGCGAAAAUUGUUGAAACAACACCAAGGAUCACACUCAGUGUAUCGAGUGUUGGCUCUGACGCCAAUUGAAAGUGUUGCUCCACACGAACCAAACGGAAACCUUGUGUUAAGGUAACACACAAAGCAGCACAGAGCAAAACUUGCAGCGGAAAUAAAUCAACACAGAACUUUGGAAAAAUUUCUUCAAGUUAUAAAAUAACUUGAAGAAUGCCUUAUGGCGAAAUGACUAAAUGGAGAAUGACACUUACGUUCAACACCUUUACAAUGGACUAGGUAUUGAACUCUAUACACUCUCACUAACAAACUAAAACUGGAUUCAAGAGCUAUACUCCGAAAUCCAACAAAACAAAGAAUGCUAUAACUAAUGUUAUCCCAACACGAGAAACAACACUCCUACACAGAUCACUCAAAAGCUAGAUAUCUUCUCUCAAAGUUCGUGAUCUGAACUGAACUCCUCCUUGGUAUUUAUAGACCUUCAAAUCUUGAUAUCCAAGUAUGAGUUCGUGGGUUGGGA